AAAAAAUUGCUAUGUAAGUCGCUUUGGAUAAAAGCGUCAGCUAAAUGACAUGUA
rfam:Gasterosteus aculeatus cont1.001075, whole genome shotgun sequence.